GAGCCUCCUCACAACUCGACACGAAGAACAUAUCAAUCAGUGCAUAAAAUUAAUUGAAAAUGGAUCAUCAGCUUUCAAAGCCUUUAAUUAAAGUAAAUAUUGAACUUUCACAUUGCUUGUAAUUAAUUUAUCGAAACUUGCAAUUGCCUUAAUACUUAGAAGAAAUAAAAUACACUAAAAUUUUAUUAAAUUGAAGCUCAUUUCAUGCAGAUAAUUUAAGUAUUGAUUCUCUUAUUCCCUUUUUGUGAUAUUUAACUUUACGUUGAGCCAUGAUUGUGUUUUUAAGAUUUAAAAAAGUCCAAAAUAUGAUUUUUUUAUAAUAUUUUAUGUUCAACUUAGGGUUCUGAUAUAUAUAUUUAUUUUCGAUUCCUAAUACCUACCUUAAAAAAUUUACCAAGAUUGGGUGUCUAAUAAGUAAAUAUUUUUUCCAUUCUAAGUUUUACUCGGCACUAUCCAAGACUUGGAAAUUGAGAUCCAACAAAACUUUAAAAUGCCAUAACUCAAAAGAUAUAUAUGUGAGAUAUAAACUCAAAAUUUGGUGGUGUUAUUUAUCUCUAUAUAUAGAACAAAUGCACCGCCUUUCAACAUACUUAGAGGGUUGUCAGUUCUAUCAAAAGAAAACUUUUUCUUUCUGCAAAUUCCUAUUUUAUUUACUCGGAAUUUAUAUAAUAGGAAUGAAUAAAAAAAAAUUAUUGUAAAAUAUUUGUAUAAUUUACAAAUUAUUCCAUGUUGAAAACACUUUUCUUUGAUUUCUUAGUCUCCACUUCUGGAUUGAAAUGACUAGCUGUUCUUUUUCUAAUUUCAUCUACUCCUUCUUCCGUAGCAGCCCAUUCAAGUACCAAACGUCUUCCAUACAAAUGAGUACUUUGGGAAAGAGCUUCAAAUGCAGCCUAUCAAAAAAAUUACAUCAUGAUAAUUGCAUUUUAUUUGUGUUAACCUAAUUAACUGCCUUACAAAUUGGUUACAGGAUGUAUUCAUUAUAUUUAAUCAAGGUAAUGUUGAUGUAAGGCAUCGCUUUUCAAUUGGACAGUUGAAAUCCAAAGUUUUAAUCUCAUUUAUAUAGAAACAAUAAUAUUUUUAUUAACUAACCACCAAGAGAGGUAUUAAUAGUGGGGGAAAAGUAUCAAAAGAUCACUUACAUAGGUGGUAACAUGAGUCACAAGACAUACAAUGGAGGCAUACCUUCUAGUUAUUAUGGAUAGUGAUCACUUUGAACCUCAGGACGUAUAUAAUGUCGAUGAAACCAGCGUUACAGCAGUGCAAAAAACUGAUGAGUUACAAGACAUGGUACUAAGCAGGAUUAAAAAAUAAGUAAUGGAAUGUGACUUAAAAGAGGUAUUAAUAGUCGGGGAAAAGUAUCAAAAGAUCACUUAUAUAGGCGGUAACGUGAGUCACAAGGCAUACAAUGGAGGCAUACCUUCUAGUUGUUAUGGAUAGCAACCACUUUGAAUCUGAGGACAUAUUUAAUGUCGAUGAAACCAGCGUGCAAAAGCCUGAUAGGGUUGUUGUAAGACAUGAUACUAGGCAAGUGGGUGUGAUUACUUUGAAAGAAGCUGUCUGUCUGACAUUUUCUGUUUUGUUUCAAAGUUUACAUUUCUAGUGAACUGUUACAUCUUCCAUCUAACUUAAAUCUUUAUCAUGAAGGUUUAAUAUGAAAUUGAUAGUCCGAUAACUGGCUUAUUAACUACAAUACAUAAAAAAAAUUAUAUGGUUUUAAACAUCCCGACAUCCACAUUAAUGAUGAUCUAACCUUUGCAUCUGAUGAUGUUGUGUAAUCGAUGAAGGCAAAUCCUCUGUGACUAUCCGAUCCAGCAGCCAUUUUUUUAGGUAAUCUUAACGCACGAAUUUCUCCAAAUGUACUAAAAAAGAAUUUCAAUUUCUAUUAUUUGUAGAUUUUUUCGAUUGGUCGAAAAUAAAUGUUAAAUAUGACAAA